AAUGGCUUCUAGUGAAGCCUUAAAAAAAAAUUAAUGUCAUUGUAAAAUAUUAAAAAAAAAAAA
rnacentral:sRNA from 1 species